GCUGUCUGUGAUGUUUUCCAUCUUACCUGCCUUGUUUGAAUAGUGACAUUGAAAAUAAACAAGAUGUCUGAGACAUGC